GACGAACGCUGGCGGCGUGCUUAACACAUGCCAGUCGAACGGAAAGGCCCUGCUUUUGUGGGGUGCUCGAGUGGCGAACGGGUGAGUAACACGUGAGUAACCUGCCCUUGACUUUGGGAUAACUUCAGGAAACUGGGGCUAAUACCGGAUAGGAGCUCCUGCUGCAUGGUGGGGGUUGGAAAGUUUCGGCGGUUGGGGAUGGACUCGCGGCUUAUCAGCUUGUUGGUGGGGUAGUGGCUUACCAAGGCUUUGACGGGUAGCCGGCCUGAGAGGGUGACCGGCCACAUUGGGACUGAGAUACGGCCCAGACUCCUACGGGAGGCAGCAGUGGGGAAUAUUGCACAAUGGGCGGAAGCCUGAUGCAGCAACGCCGCGUGCGGGAUGACGGCCUUUGGGUUGUAAACCGCUUUCGCCUGUGACGAAGCGUGAGUGACGGUAAUGGGUAAAGAAGCACCGGCUAACUACGUG
rnacentral:rRNA from 1 species